rnacentral:tRNA from 1 species
GUAGAAAUAGUUUAACCAAGACAUUAGACCGUGACUCUAAAGAUAAAGAGUAAAAUCUUUUUUCUACC